GGCUCGUUGGUCUAGGGUAUGAUUCUCGCUUAGGGUGCGAGAGGUCGGGUUCAAAUCCCGGACGAGCCC
rnacentral:tRNA from 1 species